rnacentral:lncRNA from 1 species
AUCGAGUGAAGCAUCAAUUAUAGUAGAAUCCAAACAGAUCUUUUGGUCAUAAUCGUUAAGAUAAGGAUAUCUCUGGUGCAAAGAAUACAAUGCGUGACACUCAAAUUUUGGAUUCCUGCCAAAACUGGAUAAUGUUAAAUCCAUUUGGAAAUUAGGGAUAGAAUUAUUGCAAAAUAAAUCAGGUAAGCCAUCGGUUAUAGUAGAAUCCAAGGAGAUUUUUUGGCC